rnacentral:snRNA from 1 species
UUUCUCAAAUUUAGCACUUAUACUAAAAUUAGAAUGACAUAAAAGAUGAGCAUGGCCACUGUGCAAGGAGACACUCAAGUUCAUGAAGUGUCCCAGAUUUUU